AUUGAACGCUGGCGGCAUGCCUUACACAUGCAAGUCGAACGGUAACAGGUCUUCGGAUGCUGACGAGUGGCGAACGGGUGAGUAAUACAUCGGAACGUGCCUAGUAGUGGGGGAUAACUACUCGAAAGAGUGGCUAAUACCGCAUGAGAUCUACGGAUGAAAGCAGGGGAUCGCAAGACCUUGUGCUACUAGAGCGGCCGAUGGCAGAUUAGGUAGUUGGUGGGAUAAAAGCUUACCAAGCCGACGAUCUGUAGCUGGUCUGAGAGGACGAUCAGCCAGACUGGGACGGAGACACGGCCCAGACUACUACGGGAGGCAGCAGUGGGGAAUUUUGGACAAUGGGCGAAAGCCUGAUCCAGCAAUGCCGCGUGCAGGAUGAAGGCCUUCGGGUUGUAAACUGCUUUUGUACGGAACGAAAAGCCCCGGGUUAAUACCCUGGGGUCAUGACGGUACCGUAAGAAUAAGCACCGGCUAACUACGUGCCAGCCGCCGCCGUAA
rnacentral:rRNA from 1 species